UGUUAGUUGAUUUUCUCAUUGUUGAAGUCCAUACAGUAACAUGCAACUUCAUUUGGUCUCUGUAGGAUAGUUGUCUCGCAUCUCUUCUUUUCAUAACAAAUCAAUUUGUAGGUUCUAUAAAGUGGGCCCAUGACGAAGGUAAGGGAAAUUUUGACUGCCAACUGAGAGGAGGAUAUGUUGGACAGAAAUUAAGCCUUGCAACAGGCCACCUACUGACCCCUCAAAGACUUAUGGCAAGGGUUCUUUACGUGCAGAGUGGCACUGUCCCUACACAUAUAGGAACUAUACUUUUUAAAUUGCCAUUCCAAUUUUUGUUUGUUUUAAACAUGAAAACAUAAGAAGACUUUAAGGUGGGGGUCAUAAAAAAUAUUGCAAUAAUCCCACCUUUUACACCACCCUCAAUGUUUAUUAUCUAGAACUCUGUUUAAAAACGAUUUUGUUUUCAUAUAUUAUUUUUUGGUAUUUUCUUUUUUUAUAUUUUUUUUACAGAGCUCUAAAUAAUAAAAAUAUCAGAUGUUAAAGGUUAGAGGUAUUAACAAAGUCAUUCUUAUUCAGAAUAUUGCAAAAUUUUAAUGUUAGUUGAUUUUCUCAUUGUUGAAGUCCAUACAGUAACAUGCAACUUCAUUUGGUCUCUGUAGGAUAGUUGUCUUGCAUCUCUUCUUUUCAUAACAAAUCAAUUUGUAGGUUCUAUAAAGUGGGCCGAUGAUGAAGGUAAGGGAAAUUUUGACUGCCAACUGAGAGGAGGAUAUGUUGGACAGAAAUAAAGCCUUGCAACAGGCCACCUACUGACCCCUCAAAGAGUUGUGGCAAGGGUUCUUUAACGUGCAGAGUGGCACUGUCCCUACACAUAUAGGAACUAUACUUUUUAAAUUGCCAUUCCAAUUUUUGUUUGUUUUAAACAUGAUAACUUUAGAAGACUUUAAAGUGGGGGUCAUAAAAAAUAUUGCAAUAAUCCCACCUUUUACACCACCCUCAAUGUUUAUUAUCUAGAACUCUGUUUAAAAACGAUUUUGUUUUCAUAUAUUAUUUUUUGGUAUUUUCUUUUUUUAUAUUUUUUUUACAGAGCUCUAGAUAAUAAAAAUAUCAGAUGUUAAAGGUUAGAGGUAUUAACAAAGUCAUUCUAAUUCAGAAUAUUGCAAAAUUUUAAUGUUAGUUGAUUUUCUCAUUGUUGAAGUCCAUACAGUAACAUGCAACUUCAUUUGGUCUCUGUAGGAUAGUUGUCUCGCAUCUCUUCUUUUCAUAACAAAUCAAUUUGUAGGUUCUAUAAA